GAUGAACGCUGGCGGCGUGCCUAAUACAUGCAAGUCGAGCGAACGGACGAGAAGCUUGCUUCUCUGAUGUUAGCGGCGGACGGGUGAGUAACACGUGGAUAACCUACCUAUAAGACUGGGAUAACUUCGGGAAACCGUAGCUAAUACCGGAUAAUAUUUUGAACCGCAUGGUUCAAAAGUGAAAGACGGUCUUGCUGUCACUUAUAGAUGGAUCCGCGCUGCAUUAGCUAGUUGGUAAGGUAACGGCUUACCAAGGCAACGAUGCAUAGCCGACCUGAGAGGGUGAUCGGCCACACUGGAACUGAGACACGGUCCAGACUCCUACGGGAGGCAGCAGUAGGGAAUCUUCCGCAAUGGGCGAAAGCCUGACGGAGCAACGCCGCGUGAGUGAUGAAGGUCUUCGGAUCGUAAAACUCUGUUAUUAGGGAAGAACAUAUGUGUAAGUAACUGUGCACAUCUUGACGGUACAUAAUCAGAAAGCCACGGCUAACUACGUG
rnacentral:rRNA from 1 species